UCUACAUUACCCAGGUCUACAUUACUUUACACAUUACCACACAGGUACACACAGGUACACACGGGUACACACAGCUACACACAGCUACACAGAGCUACACACAGGUACACAUGGGUACACACAGCUACACACAGCUACACACAGCUACACACAGGUCUACAUUACUCUACAUUACUUUACACAGCUACACACAGGUACACACGGGUACACACAGGUACACACAGCUACACACAGGUACACACGGGUACACACAGGUACACACAGCUACACACAGGUACACAUUACUCUACAUUACGUUACACAGGUACACACGGGUACACACAGCUACACACAGGUACACACGGGUACACACAGCUACACACAGGUACACACAGGUACACACAGGUACACACAGGUACAUUACUCUACAGAAGGAUGACAGAAUAUCUCCUAAAGAACACGUCUUACCUUCAGAUACAAAAGCAUCUUUGAAUGAGAGACAAAAAUAAGGGACGUGUGAGUCAGUUGUUAGAAUUAUUUCAAAAGCUUUUCCACGAGGUGGAGAAAGUAAGGAAACAGCCCAAGUGUUGCACCUCUAAUGUGUAAUGAAGCAAUGAAAAACUCUGUGAGUGUGUGUGUGUGUGUGUGUGUGUGUGUGUGUGUGUGUGUGUGUGUGUGUGUGUGUUUGUUUUCCGUUGACCAUAUUUCUCACAAAGUAAACACAUCAAAUGAAGCCAUUUAUCCAUUUGUCCAACUUUUCAUCCCCCAAAAAUGUGUAGUUGCAUCAUACAAGCGUUGAAGUGCAGUUUUCUGAAUAGUGACUGUAAAGCCGUCCUUCUGUCAUCGGAGUGGAAAUAAAAGCUUUUAUUAAAACAAGCUUCGCGGACCAGAGGCACUGCGCAUGUCGAAGCAUUAACGGGGGGCACCUCAGUGCUUCCAAAUUGGCCCAUAAAAACAAAGUCCAACGUAACAGAAACCUAAAUCUAAUAUAAAAGAAGAAUGCUGAAAACACGCAGGCCGGAGGAGCCUGUAAAUCACCUGAUUAGUCCUUCGCAGGUACGGUAAACAGAAUAAAAAAUAAUGGCUGUGUGCGCGGCCCAUGCGGGGCGCUUUGGUGUGUGAACCGGCCGGUGUGCGCGUGCACAGAGUAACAAGUCGUACUCGUAGUAAUUCUGUGGAAUUCCUGUGGUCCUGCAGCAGCCGGC
ensembl:lncRNA